rnacentral:rRNA from 1 species
GACGAACGCUGGCGGCGUGCUUAACACAUGCAAGUCGAGCGGACGGAGAACUUCGGUUCAAAGUUAGCGGCGGACGGGUGAGUAACGCGUGAACAAUCUGUCCCAGACAGGGGGAUAACAAUCUGAAAAGGUUGCUGAUACCGCAUAAGACCACGUUCUCGCAUGGGAAUGGGGUAAAAGAUUUAUCGGUUUGGGGUGAGUUCGCGUCUGAUUAGCUAGUUGGUGAGGUUAAACGGCCCACCAAGGCGACGAUCAGUAGCCGAUCUGAGAGGAUGACCGGCCACAUUGGAACUGAGACACGGUCCAAACUCCUACGGGAGGCAGCAGUGGGGAAUAUUGGGCAAUGGGCGAAAGCCUGACCCAGCAACGCCGCGUGAGGGAAGAAGGUUUUCGGAUUGUAAACCUCUGUCCUAAGGGAAGAAGGAAGUGACGGUACCUUAGGAGGAAGCCCCGGCUAACUACGUG